rnacentral:rRNA from 1 species
CGGCCUACCAUGCAGUCGAGCGGAUGACGGGAGCUUGCUCCUUGAUUCAGCGGCGGACGGGUGAGUAAUGCCUAGGAAUCUGCCUGGUAGUGGGGGACAACGUUUCGAAAGGAACGCUAAUACCGCAUACGUCCUACGGGAGAAAGCAGGGGACCUUCGGGCCUUGCGCUAUCAGAUGAGCCUAGGUCGGAUUAGCUAGUUGGUGGGGUAAUGGCUCACCAAGGCGACGAUCCGUAGCUGGUCUGAGAGGAUGAUCAGUCACACUGGAACUGAGACACGGUCCAGACUCCUACGGGAGGCAGCAGUGGGGAAUAUUGGACAAUGGGCGAAAGCCUGAUCCAGCCAUGCCGCGUGUGUGAAGAAGGUCUUCGGAUUGUAAAGCACUUUAAGUUGGGAGGAAGGGCAGUAAGUUAAUACCCUUGCUGUUUUGACGUUACCGACAGAAUAAGCACCGGCUAACUCUGUGCA